UCCUAUGGGGGGCAGCAGUGGGGAAUAUUGCACAAUGGGCGAAAGCCUGAUGCAGCAACGCCGCGUGAAGGAAGACGGUUUUCGGAUUGUAAACUUCUGUUCUUAGUGAAGAAUAAUGACGGUAACUAAGGAGCAAGCCACGGCUAACUACGUGCCAGCAGCCGCGGUAAUACGUAGGUGGCAAGCGUUAUCCGGAUUUACUGGGUGUAAAGGGAGCGUAGACGGCGGCGCAAGUCUGGAGUGAAAUGCCGGGGCCCAACCCCG
rnacentral:rRNA from 1 species